rnacentral:lncRNA from 1 species
CCACAUGGGGCUUGAGGCCAAGAACAGCCCUUGUUGCCACCAACAUGGAGACUUUGUACCAUAUCCCAUUCUUAGUGCUCGAGUGUUCCAACCUGAAGUUGAAGAAGCCACCCUGGCUGCACAUGCCAUCAGCCAUGACUGUGUAUGCUCUGGUGGUGGUGUCUUACUUCCUCAUGACUGGAGGAAUAAUUAUAUGAUAUUGUUGAACCCCCAAGUAUUGGCUGAUGAACGUGGGCAUCAGAGGCCAGUAGCUUUCUUGGCCUACAAAGUAAAUGGACAGUAUAUUAUGGAAGGAUUUGCAUCCAGCUUCCUGUUUACAAUGGGAGGUUUAGGUUUCAUAAUGCUGGACCAGUCGAAUGCACCAAAUAUCCCAAAACUCAAUCGAUUUUUUUUCUUCUAUUCAUUGGAUUCGUCUGUGUCCUACUGAGUUUUUUCAUGGCUGGAGUAUUCAUGUGAAUGAAACUGCCGGGCUAUCUGAUGGGUUAGAGCGCCUUUAAGAAGAAAUCAGUGGAUACUGGAUUUGCUCCUGUCAAUGAAGUUCUAAAGGCUGUACCAAUCCUCCAAUAUGAAAUGUGGGAAAGAAUGAAGAGCAGCAGUAAAAGAAAUACCUAGCGAAAAAAACAGGAAGCAUAUUGAAGCUCGGACUAGAAUUUCUUCUUGGUAUCAGAGAGACAAGUUUAUCACAGUAUUUUUUUUUUUCCUGCUGACCUAUUGAUAAUACCAACAAUGUUGAGUGGCAUUUUCUUCUUAGUUUUUAAUUUCUUAAAGAAAAUAUACUCCAUAUCUGCAGGGAAAAAAAUAAAAAUCCACACCUGAGAACAGAUCCAUACAACCUGCUUACAAAGAACAGCUCCUGUGCUACCUGAGGCUGAUUUAUUUGAAGAACAAAAGGAAGAGAGACAAUUUAGUGUAGACAAGUGCUAUUCAAUAGAACUUUUUGCAGCAGUGGAAAUAUCCAUAAAUCUGCAGUAUCCAACCAAACUAGCCACAGACAGCUGCUGAGCAAUUGAAAUGAAGCUGGCACAACUAAGGAACUGAAGUUCUUAUUUUAAUUCAACUUCAAAUGGUCACAUGUCACUAGUGACUACCACACUGGACAGUGCAGGUGUAGACGGAGUUCAGAUCAGACUCCUGAAACUUAAUGGCUCUAACCUUAGGCAAGUUACGUUAACAUCUAAGCCUCAAUCCCUCCAAGUAGAAUGGGUGCACCUAAAUCAUAGGGUUGUCCUGUUGUCCUGAGCAACAUUAUGUAAAGCACUUAGCCCAGAGCCUAGCACAUAGUUAUCUAGAGUUGGGAACGUCACUCCUGGUGUGCAUGUCCAGACCCUACCCGGGAGAAGGGCCUAACCUAUGACUUUAGAACCCUCAGUUGCAGGUGUGCAUGUUCCAGCCAACACUCCACUCUGAGUGCAGGCUCAUCAGGACACCAUAUGGUUGUAAACUGGCUGCCAUGUCCCAAUCCUUCCAGCUCUUGAGGGUCAG